rnacentral:rRNA from 1 species
GACGAACGCUGGCGGCGUGCCUAAUACAUGCAAGUCGAACGCAGUGGGGACGGGUGAGUAACACGUGGGUAACCUCCCAUCAGAGGGGAUAACACUUGGAAACAGGUGCUAAACCGAUACUGAUGGCGGGAACCGCGGUGCAUUAGCUAGUUGGUGAGGUAACGGAUCACAAAGGCCACGAUGCAUAGCCGACCUUAUCGGUUGAUCGUCCACACUGGGACUUAUACACGGUCCAGACUCCUACGGGAGGCAGCAGUAGGGAAUCAUCCGCAAUGGUCGAAAGCCUGACGGAGCAACGCCGCGUGAGUGAUGAAUGUCUUCGGAUCGUAAAACUCUGUUAUUAGUGAAGCGGGACCUAAUCAGAAGGCCACGGCUAACGACGUGCCAGCAGCCGCGAUAAUAC